CCUACGGGAGGCAGCAGUCGGGAAUAUUGCGCAAUGGAGGAAACUCUGACGCAGUGACGCCGCGUAUAGGAAGAAGGUUUUCGGAUUGUAAACUAUUGUCGUUAGGGAAGAAAAAAGACAGUACCUAAGGAGGAAGCUCCGGCUAACUACGUGCCAGCAGCCGCGGUAAUACGUAGGGAGCAAGCGUUAUCCGGAAUUAUUGGGUGUAAAGGGUGCGUAGACGGGAGUCUAAGUUAGUUGUGAAAUCCCUCGGCUCAACUGAGGAACUGCAACUAAAACUGGACAUCUUGAGUGCAGGAGAGGAAAGUGGAAUUCCUAGUGUAGCGGUGAAAUGCGUAGAUAUUAGGAGGAACACCAGUGGCGAAGGCGACUUUCUGGACUGUAACUGACGUUGAGGCACGAAAGUGUGGGGAGCAAACAGGAUUAGAUACCCUGGUAGUC
rnacentral:rRNA from 1 species